rnacentral:rRNA from 1 species
ACCCCGUGAACCUUUACUAUAGCUUGACACUGAACAUUGAGCCUUGAUGUGUAGGAUAGGUGGGAGGCUUAGAAGUGUGGACGCCAGUCUGCAUGGAGCCGAACUUGAAAUACCACCCUUUAAUGUUUGAUGUUCUAACGUUGACCCGUGAUCCGGGUUGCGGACAGUGUCUGGUGGGUAGUUUGACUGGGGCGGUCUCCUCCUAAAGAGUAACGGAGGAGCACGAAGGUUGGCUAAUCCUGGUCGGACAUCAGGAGGUUAGUGCAAUGGCAUAAGCCAGCUUGACUGCGAGCGUGACGGCGCGAGCAGGUGCGAAAGCAGGUCAUAGUGAUCCGGUGGUUCUGAAUGGAAGGGCCAUCGCUCAACGGAUAAAAGGUACUCCGGGGAUAACAGGCUGAUACCGCCCAAGAGUUCAUAUCGACGGCGGUGUUUGGCACCUCGAUGUCGGCUCAUCACAUCCUGGGGCUGAAGUAGGUCCCAAGGGUAUGGCUGUUCGCCAUUUAAAGUGGUACGCGAGCUGGGUUUAGAACGUCGUGAGACAGUUCGGUCCCUA